rnacentral:rRNA from 1 species
CCUACGGGAGGCAGCAGUAAGGAACAUUGGACAAUGGGCGCAAGCCUGAUCCAGCCAUGCCGCGUGAAGGAUUAAGGUCCUCUGGAUUGUAAACUUCUUUUAUCCGGGACGAUAAUGACGGUACCGGAGGAAUAAGCCCCGGCUAACUUCGUGCCAGCAGCCGCGGUCAUA